CCAACCGGCUGCCUGCUGCCCCUUCCCCCGACUUGGACGAACCCUAGGUCCCUGCCCGCCGCCGCCGCCUGCCGUCGUGCCUACCCAACCCUACCGCUUGCAUAGCGAGAAACGAGAAGCCGAGCACCACAGCGGCGGCGCGCUCACCACCGGCUCUCCGUCGCUGCAUCGCCACUCCUCCGCCGUCCGAGCGCGACCAGGUCACUUCCUCUUCUGGUCCCCUUCCUCUGGCACGGCGGCACCCACAGUCCCUCGCGGCUCCCCGACAUUCUCCGUCCCCGCACAGCCAAAAACUGCAGGAACGCAAGAUGAGUAAAAGAAACAAGACAUAAGUUACCGCACACGCAAAGGCCUUUUGCCUCGUCCUACAACGUUUAGCUUCUUGUGCGAUUGAAGAUAUAGUCAUGGGAGGCUUAGAUCAACCAAUCCUUUGAUUUGGUGAGAAACUCGCUAUUGACAAUCCACGUCUUGGAAGCCAUGUGCCGAGCGCCGCAGCGAUGAGAUCUCAGGCAAGUGCUGACACUGAUCCCUCGAGUAGAAACAUGAUGAAAGAUGUUUCAUAAAUGUGACUGGAUCUUCUCAGUGUACCUUUUUUUUCUGUUGUUUCUUCAUGUAUCUUAAAUUCUUGAUACUACUACAAAGCCAAUAUGUUGCCAGGGUAGUUGAUAAAAUUUUCUUAAGACCAUAAGUAAAUUGAACAGUUGAUCUGCUAGAUACUCCUUCCGUUCCUAAAUAUUUGUCUUUCUAUACAUUUCAAAUGGCUACAACAUACGGAUGUAUGUAGACAUAUUUUAGAGUAUAGAUUCACUCAUUUUGCUUCGUAUGUAGUCACUUGUUGAAAUCUCUAGAAAGACAAAUAUUUAGGAACGGAGGGAGUAUAUUAUAUUUGGAAAGAAGAUAUUCCAAACGUAAGUUGGGUGGCUGGAGAAAUAAAACGUGACUGACUGACUUUGGGAUGAGGAUAAAAUUAUUAUAUCAUUUCUAAGAGCACAAGUGGAAAAAUAACCCAGAAACAAUAUACUCUGUCUACAUUUCUUCUUUAACAGCUGCUCCUUUUACAUGAACCUCUAAACCAAAGCCGGAUACAGAAGCAAUCAAAACUGGGGGCUGGUGAUAUCAUUUUUUCUUUAACAGAAGCCAGGAUGCACUGCUGGUGGAGAUAAGUGCAAAUGCGGCAGCAGCAACACCUUCACCGGACAAAAAGAAAGUUGGGAGGACGGGAAAAAUGCAGAGGGGUAGAAACUACUACUGAUGACAUGGAAGGAACCUCUAAAGCUGCUGAUAGCAAGAGGACGGGGCCUUCUGAAUUAGCUGAUGGUGACUCGUAGUUGCAAGAGUUCUCCCAGGUAAGUGAUACCCUCGUGCAUGUGUUUUUUGGUUACCUGGGCUAUUGGUAAGUUUGGACCUUAUUUAAUUCGUGAAAGUGUAGCGACACCAUUUUCCAUGCUGGUUUGUUUUGGUAAGCCUUUUUCAUGUAUACAUGGAAUUGUUGGUCUGCCACUUUCUUACAUAUAUCUUUCAGCCUGGUUGCUCUUUAACAAAACAAGCAAACCAAAAUGAACAAUAUGAUUACAACGUAUCCCCGCUGCUGCUUGUAUGGUAGUAUUUAGUAUAUCAUUAUUUGAUAUUGCAAUUAAUUUAAUCCUUGUUAGGACUGUUGUCCUAUGAAUGUGUGCCCUGCACAAGAAAUAGCCAGGUGCAUUUGGCUGCCAUAAUUCUUCUUUGUUUCCAAACAUGGUGGCUCUUUGGUAGAGGCAUUUGAAGAUUUCAUUUAUGCAUCAUGAAAGCAAUCUAUUUCUUAUUGCCUAUUAUCUGUACCGAUUAGUUGUAUUUACUAUCUAAAUUGUUGUGUAUGCUGUUAUACCAAGUCAAUUUAUAUGUGACCUUGCUUUUACUGACUAUAUAUAUAUAUAAGAUUUCCUUGGACUACCAACUAAUGUGUGGUUAUGUUUAGGCAAGCUUAAUUAUUUCAUAUGGCCAUAUAUUUAUCAAAAUUCCUACUAUAUCAUUGUACAAAUAGACGGGCGCAACAACGCGUGCCAUCAAUGAUCUAGUAGCCGUGGUAAAAGGAACAUGCAGAGGAGCAUUUAGGCUGGCUUUCAUGUCGUGUCUGGCUUCUUAGCAGAGUUGUACUCCCUCCGUUCGGAAUUACUUGUCACAGAAAUGGAUGUAUCUAGACGUAUUUUAGUUCUAGAUAUAUCCAUUUCCGAGACAAGUAAUUCCGAACGGAGGGAGUAUUAGGUUAGCUUCUUUAUAUACGGAUACGCACGAAUCGAAUCCAGCACACCAGUUUUUCCGUCUUUGCCUUGUCUUAACUUCAUGGCGGCGGCAGAUUGACGAUGUAAGGCGUCGACAGUGAAGCCACCCUGGUCGUUGGUACGACGCUCUACUUGAGAGCCACAUUGAUGCACACCUCCGCCCAUUUGAUCGCAAAGACACCAUAGACAACGACUUGUUUUUGGUCACUCAGAGCAAAAACAACCAAAUCAUCAACUGCCAUGAAGGCUUCAAAGUCCGGCAUCAUUGUUGAUUACAUGUCAAGUGGCAUGUUGCUUGAUUGGUUAUCUACACAUGCUAAUUUGGAUAUCCCUAAUAGUUAUCUACAUAUGUUGGGAUGGUUUAAUGAUGAGUGUUACAACUCGAUGAUAUGAAUAUACACUGCAGUAUAGGUGCAAACUAAGUUGCAAUGUAAUCCGUUGAUAUAUUGUUUGUGAUGAUUCCUAACUUUUAAUCUCACAAGAUAUUGAUUGUGCAA